CUGCAACAACUCCACCACUAACAACAACAACAACAGCCAUCGCUACACCAAGUGUUUCUUUUACAACAACUACAACAGCAGCUCCAGCAACAGUUGCUCCACCUGAAGGUACAACAGCUGACAACGAUGUCUCAAACACAAUUGUUUUAGCUGUGAGAAUGAAGCUUUCCUCUUCCACUGGACUGUCUGACGACUACAUCAGGAGUACGGUCGUAGCACAGAUUAAAGAAGAACUGGUGAGACGAGGGCUGCCUCCAGACACCAUUAUAAGCCUUGUGAGUAGUUUGCAACUGGGAGUAACAACCACAGCGCCCCCUGUUGGUUCAACGUGAACAUUUAUUCACCAUGGCUGUUGUUUUACUGCUAAAACAGCUUUACAAAGCAUUUUCCCCAUAAUUAUGAUAAAAACAUUUUGUUGUGGAAAGAAAAACCACAACACAGGUUAUCAUACAGUCUGUAUUUUUGUAGAUUACAUAUUACGGAUUAGUUUUAGGAUCACACUUGUCUAACUGAUUGAAAUCUGGUCAUCAUCUUUGAACAUUUUAACAUGUUUACAGUGUGUGAGCAGAGUGCUUUUUGUAUUGAUCAGCUUUUAUGUGUAAAUACUUGACCAUUAGAAUGUAAAAGCAAGUUACUGAUUUAGUUUGCUGCCUCUGAUUUUAUUUCCAAUGUGUAUUUGUUAUUUGUGUAUUUAAAAAACUUGCAAAUUAAAAAUGCAAAAGUGAUUGUAUAUCUUUAGAAAUACGAUUCUGGAUUUUUGGGUCCGAUGACGAUAUUAAGGAGAAAAAGAAUUCCCAUAUCGAUAUAUUUAAAAUUUGACCUUUUUGGCAAUGAACCCUCAAAUAUGGCAGGAUAUUUUACAGCUUCAAAAAGUGCAGCCUG